CAGUAAAUGCCAGCUUGCCCGAUCUGAAGUGUGCUACCUGGGCUAUGUCCUGGAUGGUGGCACCAUCCGUCCUCAGGUCAGCAAGGUGGAGGCCAUCCGCGGCUGCCAGCCACCGACAACCAAAAAGGGGUUGAGAUCCUUCUUGGGGCUGGCUGGCUGGUAUAGGCGUUUCAUCCCCAACUUCUCCAGCCGAGCUGCUUGUUUGACUGACCUCACUCGGAAAACCAGUCCCAACAAGGUGGUCUAGACUCCCGAGUGUGAGGUCGCUUUCCGGGACCUGCAGGAGUGCUUGUGCUCUGAGCCAGUGCUCCAGCGCCCUGACUUUUCCUUGCCCUUCACAGUGCAGACGGAUGCUUCAGGCCUAGGCCUAAGGGCUGUGUUGCUGCAAGGUACCAUCAUCAGAGUGGAUUGGGAGCACCUGGUUCAGGCGCUCCUUAAAGUAUAAAAACCCAGACUCAACUCUGCUCUGGUCUCUCUCUGGCAUUCGGCGGCGGCGGCGGCAGCAGCAGCAGCAGCAGCAGCAGCAGCAGCAGCAGCAGCAGCAGCAGCAGCAGCAGCAGCAGCAGCACUUGUUUUUUUUUCUGCUUUGUUUUCACAAUAUAACUUCUG
ensembl:lncRNA